rnacentral:misc_RNA from 1 species
GAUGAAGAACGUAGCGAAAUGCGAUAAGUAGUGUGAAUUGCAGACUUUAGUGAAUCAUCGAAUCUUUGAACGCACAUUGCGCCCCCCGGCAUUCCGGGGGGCAUGCCUGUUCGAGCGUCUCCAGGACGAAUCCUCGCGCGAGUGAACGCGCGGUCGUGGCGGAGGUGGCGUGCCCGAGCAGGGCGGCCACCGCGCUGGAAUCCAUGGGCGGACGCCUGCCGCGUGGCCGAGCGUGAUAUGACGCAUUGGCGCUCGUGCGCGGCGAGGCUGCCAGCCCUGGCCCGUCUGUCGGGCGGGGUAGAUCACCACGUGGGAACUCCUCGAAUCAGGUAGGGAUACCCGCUGAACUUAAGCAUAUCAAUAAGCGGAGGA